rnacentral:rRNA from 1 species
AGUAACACGUGGGCAACCUGCCUGUAAGACUGGGAUAACUCCGGGAAACCGGGGCUAAUACCGGAUAACUCUUUUCCUCACAUGAGGAAAAGCUGAAGAUGGUUUCGGCUAUCACUUACAGAUGGGCCCGCGGCGCAUUAGCUAGUUGGUGAGGUAACGGCUCACCAAGGCCACGAUGCGUAGCCGACCUGAGAGGGUGAUCGGCCACACUGGGACUGAGACACGGCCCAGACUCCUACGGGAGGCAGCAGUAGGGAAUCUUCCGCAAUGGACGAAAGUCUGACGGAGCAACGCCGCGUGAGUGAUGAAGGUUUUCGGAUCGUAAAACUCUGUUGUCAGGGAAGAACAAGUACCGGAGUAACUGCGGUACUUGACGGUACCUGACCAGAAAGCCACGGCUAACUACGUGCCAGCAGCCGCGGUAAUACGUAGGUGGCAAGCGUUGUCCGGAAUUAUUGGGCGUAAAGCGCGCGCAGGCGGUUCCUUAAGUCUGAUGUGAAAGCCCCCGGCUCAACCGGGGAGGCUCAUUGGAAACUGGGGAACUUGAGUGCAGAAGAGAAGAGUGGAAUUCCACGUGUAGCGGUGAAAUGCGUAGAGAUGUGGAGGAACACCAGUGGCGAAGGCGACUCUUUGGUCUGUAACUGACGCUGAGGCGCGAAAGCGUGGGGAGCAAACAGGAUUAGAUACCUGGUAGUCCACGCCGUAAACGAU